GACGAACGCUAGCGGUGGGCUUAACACAUGCAAGUCGAGCGGAAACGCCCUGCUAGUUUGGUAUGCUCGAUGGGCAAACGGGUAAGGAACAGUUAAGUGACCUACCCUUGACUUUGGGAUAAGUUCAGGAAACUGGGGCUAAGACCAGAUAGGAGCUCAUGCUGCAUUGGGGGGGUUGGAAAGUUGCGGCGGAUGGGGAUGGGCUAGUGGCUUAUCAGCUUGUUGCUAGGGGGGUGGGUUACCAAGGAUUUGACGGGUGGCCGGCCGGGGAGGGUGACCGGCAAACUUGGGACUGUGCUACGGCCGGGAGCCGUAAGGGAGACAGCAGUGUGGAAUAUUGCCCAAUGGGGGGAAGUCUGAUGCAGCAAGGCCGCGUGAGGGAUGACGGCCUUCGGUUUGUAAAGAGCUUCAGCAUGUAACGAAGCGUGAGUGACGGUAAUGUGUAAAGAAGCAUCGGCUAACUACGUG
rnacentral:rRNA from 1 species